rnacentral:rRNA from 1 species
CCUAAUACAUGCAAGUCGAGCGGACAGAUGGGAGCUUGCUCCCUGAUGUUAGCGGCGGACGGGUGAGUAACACGUGGGUAACCUGCCUGUAAGACUGGGAUAACUCCGGGAAACCGGGGCUAAUACCGGAUGCUUGUUUGAACCGCAUGGUUCAGACAUAAAAGGUGGCUUCGGCUACCACUUACAGAUGGACCCGCGGCGCAUUAGCUAGUUGGUGAGGUAACGGCUCACCAAGGCGACGAUGCGUAGCCGACCUGAGAGGGUGAUCGGCCACACUGGGACUGAGACACGGCCCAGACUCCUACGGGAGGCAGCAGUAGGGAAUCUUCCGCAAUGGACGAAAGUCUGACGGAGCAACGCCGCGUGAGUGAUGAAGGUUUUCGGAUCGUAAAGCUCUGUUGUUAGGGAAGAACAAGUGCCGUUCAAAUAGGGCGGCACCUUGACGGUACCUAACCAGAAAGCCACGGCUAACUACGUGCCAGCAGCCGCGGUAAUACGUAGGUGGCAAGCGUUGUCCGGAAUUAUUGGGCGUAAAGGGCUCGCAGGCGGUUUCUUAAGUCUGAUGUGAAAGCCCCCGGCUCAACCGGGGAGGGUCAUUGGAAACUGGGGAACUUGAGUGCAGAAGAGGAGAGUGGAAUUCCACGUGUAGCGGUGAAAUGCGUAGAGAUGUGGAGGAACACCAGUGGCGAAGGCGACUCUCUG